CUCAUCAAUAGUUAGCCCCUUGUAACCCCUGUAAUAGUUAAAAUUAUUCAAAUUCAAUGUGUAAAUAUUUGCCGUAAAUAAAGUGUACUUACCUUGUUGUAGUGUCGCAGGACCUGCGGGUCACGUGAUGCGUUCUAAAACUCUAGGUUUUAUGGUUCAAGGACCUUUGGAGGAAGUCAGGUGAUCGCCCACAAUGCAUUGUAACGGUGAGUGACAGCUGACUCGGACCAAUCCAAAACGGCCCUGCCCAUAUAAGGGAGCGGCGGCCAUUACUCUCUCUAUUUCCUCGUGGGCUGCUGAUAGAGGAGGAUCUGCGCAGCUGUCAUCAGCAGUGACUAUGCCCAAGCCUUGCGGCAACAGCCAUCUUACAAAACUGGCUCAUUGUCACUGGUGUAUGCUAUAGCGGAAGUCCUUUUAGAGUGGAGAUCCAGCCAUGGUUCCAGAAGAAAUGUACGAUCCUUAAUCAUGACAAACCAUCGUUGGUCCCAAUCCCUUUGCUAUUGGAUGUCAGGAACCUGAGCAGAGGUCCCCUUCAGUGGAACAGCAUUGAUAUCAAACAAGAAGUUGGUAAAUUGUCCUAGGGGUCUUCAGACAGGCAUGAGAGAAGAAAAAGAAUACAGUACCUAGGUGGUAAAACCUGGAACCAUUAUGAGAGGCUCAGUUAUAUCUUUGUUUUCCUCUAUUCAAGGUUCAGUGAACGAAGCGGCACAUGUGGUGAUCACCCAGAAAAAAUGGAUACUUGUCUGCUCCAAACAGCAGAUGAAGAGAACAUCCAGAGUUUAGAUCAGAAGAAAGUUUUUUUUCUGUAUAGACGAUGCGUUUCGAGUUGUGAAAACCCACUCUUCGUCAUGCUUUCUACUCAAGGCAAUUGAUCAUUUUCAUUGUUUAUCGAAAUGGUCCAAUAUCUUAACAAUACCCAUAAUGACCCCAUAUUUCCAUAGUCAUUAAUAUCAAUAAAUAUUCUUGUCUUCUUUGAUCCUAAAGAAACUCAAAUACGUUAAACGAUCCAAUAAAGAUUUCUGUCCAAAUACAUGUAUUAUCCACCACCAUAUUAGAAUAUUCUCCUUCCAAAGCCUUAAAUAAAAGUCUCACAGGCUAAGGUUAAACCAUUAGUUAGACUUCAAUGUUCAAACAUUGUAAAGCUAUUUUAUAAUUGGAACAAUUUCAGCUCUCGGUUAUUUCCUAAUUAAAUAUUUGUCACCGGGAUUGUUAUUGGUUCAGCAGAAAUGAGGGUUGUAAAAUAAAUAAGGUGGUGUUUCCUCUCAGCCCCGGCUGGUAAAGAGCUCGCGGCUGGGAAUAAUGAACUCGGCGACUCCCGGAGUCAGGAUGUCCAUCUACAAGUGCUAAUUCAGACUGCCAAUACAUUCUCACCAUUGCUUAGUGUCAAGAAAUGCCUAACUCCAAAUGCCAAAGGGUUAAUAAAGCAACAUAUUGCCAGGAUUUCGUGUGA